rnacentral:rRNA from 1 species
UACAGAGGCCACAAGCGUUAAUCGGAAUCACUGGGCUUAAAGGGUGCGUAGGCGGCUCACCAAGUGCUUUGUGAAAUCCCACGGCUCAACCGUGGAACAGCAGGGCAUACUGGUGGGCUUGAGGCUGGUAAGGGCUGCCGGAACAGUAGGUGGAGCGGUGAAAUGCGUAGAUAUCUACUGGAACGCCGAUGGUGAAGACGGGCAGCUGGGCCAGACCUGACGCUGAGGCACGAAAGCGUGGGGAGCAAACAGG